UACGAAGGGUGCAAGCGUUACUCGGAAUUACUGGGCGUAAAGCGUGCGUAGGUGGUUGUUUAAGUCUGUUGUGAAAGCCCUGGGCUCAACCUGGGAAUUGCAGUGGAUACUGGGCGACUAGAGUGUGGUAGAGGGUAGUGGAAUUCCCGGUGUAGCAGUGAAAUGCGUAGAGAUCGGGAGGAACAUCCAUGGCGAAGGCAGCUACCUGGACCAACACUGACACUGAGGCACGAAAGCGUGGGGAGCAAACAGGG
rnacentral:rRNA from 1 species